CAACCCUCAAGCUCUGCUUGGUGUUGGGGAUCGGCGUAGUGCCUUCGGGCGCUGCCGUCCCCUAAAUCUAGUGGCGGUCCCGCUGUAGCCUCCUCUGCGUAGUAGUUUUCUCCUCGCAAUGGAAUCUCGGCGGUGCCUUGCCGUUAAACCCCCAACUUCUGAAA
rnacentral:misc_RNA from 1 species